AUGUCCUCCUCUAUCUCGACCAUCUUCUCCGGCCUAAACAACAACACCUCCGAACCACUCUCCCACACCAACUAUGUCCUAUGGCGCGCCCAGGCCAGAUCACAGAUCAUGGGCGCUGGCCUUUUUGGCUAUCUCGAUCAAACUAUCCAAGAACCCUCCAAAACCAUCACCACCAAGAGCACCGAUGGGAAGGAUCAGGUUGUCCCAAAUCCUGCCUACUCCCCAUGGCUUAUUCAAGAUCAGCAAAUAGUUGCCUAUCUUCUCCGAAGCCUAUCCAAAGAAGUCCUCAUCCAAGUCUCCUCCCUUGAGACAUCACAUGCAAUCUGGGACGCACUGGCGAACAUGUUU
rnacentral:rRNA from 1 species